CUCGUCGCUGUCAAACCAAAAUCUGCUAUGUACUCUAUUUUGAAUUAACGAUUAAAAACAUUAACGUUUAAAAUUUUAUAUGAAAGUGAAUUUUUAAGGACUAUAUCAAAUGAAAGGACACAUCCAUGGAAACCAUGUCCAUCCAUGUCCAAACGAGGCUUGUAGGGAGUAUUUAAAGGUAGUGAGGGGCUUGGCUCUGCCCCUGGCACUACUGACGUCCAUGACGGUAACCACUCACCAUCAGGUGGGCUGUUUGCUCGUCUGCCUACACGGGCAAUAAAAAAAAGCAUGUUAGAAAAGCUCGUAGACCUUAGCACCGAUCACUGGAGAGGAACUGAGGCACUGAUUGCGAUACUGAUUCUGAGACGCGGGACAUUUUUUUCACAAAGCCUUUGCCAAUCAUAAUAAACUACUGAGAUUUACUGAAUUGUACUAUCGUAAAGUUUGCCGGAAGCUAAAAGUUCAACUUCCGCGAACGAGGGUCAGAAAAAAAAACUUACAAAGACCAAAAGUUGGUGCCAUCUAAUCGUUUUUUAUCAACAUAUAGAACAGGAUAUUCUUUCAUGAAGUGAUAUGUGUUUGUGUGGUGUCUAGAUUUUUUCAUAUUUGGGAAGCGACAUUUAAAAAAACUAGAGGUCCCGCAGUAGUCGAAAUUCGACUAUAAUUAAUUGGAAUUGUAAGUUUGUACACUAUUAUGAUUGUAUUUUAUACAAAUUUCGCCAAGACUACACUAUAAAAAAUAUUAACAAAGGCAAACAAUAUUUAAUCUAUUCUCAAUUUGACAACAGACGUCAAGAACAAAAGUUUGACAAUAAAUAGUAUGCAUGCGUG